rnacentral:rRNA from 1 species
CUACGUGCCAGCAGCCGCGGUAAUACGUAGGGUGCGAGCGUUAAUCGGAAUUACUGGGCGUAAAGCGGGCGCAGACGGUUACUUAAGCAGGAUGUGAAAUCCCCGGGCUCAACCUGGGAACUGCGUUCUGAACUGGGUGACUAGAGUGUGUCAGAGGGAGGUAGAAUUCCACGUGUAGCAGUGAAAUGCGUAGAUAUAUGGAGGAACACCGGUGGCGAAAGCGGCUCUCUGGCUUGUAACUGACGCUGAGGCUCGAAAGCGUGGGGAGCAAACAGGAUUAGAUACCCUGGUAGUCCACGCCGUAAACGAUGAGUGCUAGGUGUUAGACCCUUUCCGGGGUUUAGUGCCGUAGCUAACGCAUUAAGCACUCCGCCUGGGGAGUACGACCGCAAGGUUGAAACUCAAAGGAAUUGACGGGGGCCCGCMCAARCGGUGGAGCAUGUGGUUUAAUUCGAAGCAACGCGAAGAACCUUACCAGGUCUUGACAUCCC